CAGAUCGUCCCGAGAGCGCCGAGCGCGGUCCAGGCGGGCGCAGCGCUGGGUCAAGUUCACGUCCGGCCCGCGGGCUGCCCGAGGUCCCCGGGUGCGGCCGGGGCAGCGGGAGGCGCGGGAGGCCGAGGUCCUGGGUGGCCGCUGUGGCCGCCCCCGAGGCGCUGCUGUCACCCCGGCCGCGCCCCCCAACUUUCUGCACAGUGGCGGAGCUGGAAGUUUCCGGGCUCCGCGGACUCUGGGCUGGGUUUCAGCCGCGGCUCUGAGGUUGGCAACAAAGAGGGAAAGAAGGAGGAAAAUCAGGCCGGGGAGGGGAGGAAGGGAGCCGCGCGGAGGCCGCGGCGCAGAGAGCCCCAGAACUUCCAAUUCUACCCAGGCGCUUUUUUCGUUGUGUUUUUUUCUUGAGAGAUGAUUGUCAGCAGAAGGUUCAUUUCCAGCAUCCACAGGGGACCAGGGGAAAUUUACCUGCCGAAGAACCCCAAGAUCCUUUUCCACAGGCAUAACAAGCCUUGGCAUCAGUG